rnacentral:rRNA from 1 species
UGCUGGGUGGAUUAGUGGCGAACGGGUGAGUAACACGUGGGUGAUCUGCCCUGCACUUCGGGAUAAGCCUGGGAAACUGGGUCUAAUACCGGAUAGGACCUCGGGAUGCAUGUUCCGGGGUGGAAAGGUUUUCCGGUGCAGGAUGGGCCCGCGGCCUAUCAGCUUGUUGGUGGGGUAACGGCCCACCAAGGCGACGACGGGUAGCCGGCCUGAGAGGGCGACCGGCCACACUGGGACUGAGACACGGCCCAGACUCCUACGGGAGGCAGCAGUGGGGAAUAUUGCACAAUGGGCGCAAGCCUGAUGCAGCGACGCCGCGUGAGGGAUGACGGCCUUCGGGUUGUAAACCUCUUUCAGUACCGACGAAGCGCGAGUGACGGUAGGUACAGAAGAAGCACCGGCCAACUACGUGCCAGCAGCCGCGGUAAUACGUAGGGUGCGAGCGUUGUCCGGAAUUACUGGGCGUAAAGAGCUCGUAGGCGGUUUGUCGCGUCGUCUGUGAAAACCCGCAGCUCAACUGCGGGCUUGCAGGCGAUACGGGCAGACUUGAGUACUGCAGGGGAGACUGGAAUUCCUGGUGUAGCGGUGAAAUGCGCAGAUAUCAGGAGGAACACCGGUGGCGAAGGCGGGUCUCUGGGCAGUAACUGACGCUGAGGAGCGAAAGCGUGGGUAGCGAACAGGAUUAGAUACCCUGGUAGUCCACGCCGUAAACGGUGGGCGCUAGGU